rnacentral:rRNA from 1 species
GGAGGGGGGCAAGCGUUGCUCGGAAUUACUGGGCGUAAGGGGGUCCGCAGGUGGCUUUGUAAGUUAGAUGUGAAAUCUCAGGGGCUCAACCCUGAAACUGCAUCUAAUACUGCAUAGCUUGAGUACAGGAGAGGUUGGCGGAGUUCCCGGUGUAGCGGUGAAAUGCGUAGAUAUCGGGAGGAACACCAGUGGCGAAGGCGGCCAACUGGCCUGUUACUGACACUCAGGGACGAAAGCGUGGGUAGCGAACCGGAUUAGAUACCCGGGUAGUCCACGCCCUAAACGAUGGAUGCUAGGUGUGGGGAUGAAAAUCUCUGUGCCGUAGUUAACGCAUUAAGCAUCCCGCCUGGGGAGUACGAUCGCAAAGAUUU